GAGGAUGUGGUAGUAUUCCUCAUUUAUAGGAAUCAUGUAAUAUAUACUAGUGCGGCCUAACUUGCCACUCCUGUUCUUCAGAAACACAGGAGGAGGGGAAAAUAAGGAUGAAAGACUAGGCUAUCAGGAUGGAAGACACUAGGAAAUAGGCUACCACGAAAGGUCCUCAUCCAUGUUCCAUGUGGAUGUUACUUGUUACACUAGCAAUUAUAAGGAG
rnacentral:lncRNA from 1 species